rnacentral:rRNA from 1 species
UGGGGAAUUUUGGACAAUGGGCGCAAGCCUGAUCCAGACAUGCCGCGUGCGGGAAGAAGGCCUUCGGGUUGUAAACCGCUUUUGUCAGGGAAGAAAUCUUCUGAGUUAAUACCUCGGGAGGAUGACGGUACCUGAAGAAUAAGCACCGGCUAACUACGUGCCAGCAGCCGCGGUAAUACGUAGGGUGCAAGCGUUAAUCGGAAUUACUGGGCGUAAAGCGUGCGCAGGCGGUUUUGUAAGACAGAGGUGAAAUCCCCGGGCUCAACCUGGGAACUGCCUUUGUGACUGCAAGGCUUGAGUGCGGCAGAGGGGGAUGGAAUUCCGCGUGUAGCAGUGAAAUGCGUAGAUAUGCGGAGGAACACCGAUGGCGAAGGCAAUCCCCUGGGCCUGCACUGACGCUCAUGCACGAAAGCGUGGGGAGCAGACAGGAUUAGAUAGCCCUGGUAGUCCACGCCCUAAACGAUGUCAACUGGUUGUUGGGGAAGGUUCCCUUCUCAGUAACGUAGCUAACGCGUGAAGUUGACCGCCUGGGGAGUACGGCCGCAAGGUUGAAAC